rnacentral:rRNA from 1 species
CCUACGGGUGGCAGCAGUGAGGAAUAUUGGUCAAUGGACGCAAGUCUGAACCAGCCAUGCCGCGUGCAGGAAGACGGCUCUAUGAGUUGUAAACUGCUUUUGUACGAGGGUAAACUCAGAUACGCGUAUCUGUCUGCACGUAUCGUACGAAUAAGGAUCGGCUAACUCCGUGCCAGCAGCCGCGGUAAUACGGAGGAUUCAAGCGUUAUCCGGAUUUAUUGGGUUUAAAGGGUGCGUAGGCGGUCGGAUAAGUUAGAGGUGAAAUCCCGAGGCUCAACUUCGGAAUUGCCUCUGAUACUGUUCGGCUAGAGAGUAGUUGCGGUAGGCGGAAUGUAUGGUGUAGCGGUGAAAUGCUUAGAGAUCAUACAGAACACCGAUUGCUAAGGCAGCUUACCAAGCUACUUCUGACGUUGAGGCACGAAAGCGUGGGGAGCAAACAGGAUUAGAUACCCGAGUAGUC